rnacentral:rRNA from 1 species
GAUGAACGCUGGCGGCGUGCCUAACACAUGCAAGUCGAGCGAGAAGUUUGAAAAAUGAGUUUUCGAACAAGUGAUUCAAACGGAAAGCGGCGGACGGGUGAGUAACGCGUAGGCAACCUGCCCCGUGCAGAGGGACAGCCUCGGGAAACCGGGAUUAAGACCUCAUGAUAUCGGGUUAUCACAUGGUAAUCCGGUCAAAGAUUUAUCGGCAUGGGAUGGGCCUGCGUCUGAUUAGCUGGUUGGUGGGGUAACGGCCUACCAAGGCGACGAUCAGUAGCAGAACUGAGAGGUUCAGCUGCCACAUUGGAACUGAGACACGGUCCAAACUCCUACGGGAGGCAGCAGUGAGGAAUAUUGCACAAUGGGCGAAAGCCUGAUGCAGCAACGCCGCGUGAGCGAAGAAGGCCUUUGGGUCGUAAAGCUCUGUCCUUGGGGAAGAAACAAAUGACGGUACCCUUGGAGGAAGCCCCGGCUAACUACGUGCCAGCCGCCGCGGUAAAAC